CAAAGUAAUGGAAUCAUGUCAUUCAGCAAUUUGGAAUUGAAAUUCAAAUACUGACUUAGCAAAUUUAAACAAACCAACAUAACAUUUCAUGAAUAAAUUAGGCUAGAACACUCAAACCUUCUAAGUGUUCAACCACAAAGGACCCUCAACCCAAAUCCAAAUCAACCUAAGGGGCUAGGAGGCUAAACUAUAACUUGAAGAGUAAACACAAGAUACAACAAAUAAUCACAUGGCAAACAUAUGAAAAGAACUAAAAUUAAUACAUGGAAAGAAUCUAAACGCAUAAGUUAAUAUUCAACAAAAUGAGAUUUAUCCUCAAAUCUUUGACUCGAUACACAUUUCAGAUUUUGCACCUCACAUAGCAUUAGGAGCCAAGGAGUACCUGGAAUUCAAAAACAAACAAGAGAUGAUGAGGAUCUCAGCAAUAACAAAAUAAUGAGUAGAUCAACAAGACAAACAACCAAAUUCAGCUUCCUUGAACCCCAGAUAACCAUUAAAUCGUUUGAGAAAUAACCAAGAAGCAAUUUUAAACCAUUUUCAACCAAAAAAAUGAUGUAGAACUUUUUGUGUUUUUCAAAGCAUUAAUCUUAUCGUUUUAGCAGUUUUGUGCAGAAAAAUGAGCUAAAAAUUCCCCCUCUAAUGAAAGAAAUGCAUCCUCUUUAUAGCCCUAAUAAAAUCCCAUGUGCUGAAUCAGAAUAUGAAAUAUUCUCAACCUGCAGGGUAUCUUUUUUAACUGAGUGGGACAGGUGGCAGUCUUUAAUUGACUCCAUCACUUGUGCUGGCCAAGAUUGGGCCAACUGCCAUAUUCUACAAGUUUCCCCAAUGCAAAAAUCUGAUUUUCUUUUACUCUCAAAACUCCAAAGUUUCUAUUAUUCAGCUAACGCCCCAAUAGUAUACUAGCCAUUACUAACUAAACAAAAAACACAAAAUGAAAAAUUAUCAGAAAAUUAAAUCAAACAGCCGGUUAUUUGCCACAUUUGUUCAUAAUCAAAUGGAAAUGAGCACUGAUCAUUUGGCACCGAAAUCUCAAAACAAAGGAAAACUUAAAAUCUAAAACAUACAAUUGGUGCCAGAAUAUAAAAGAAACAUGAAAACACAAAGAACUAGAAUCACGAUAAAUUUGCCAAAUAGUUAAGAGUCCUAUUUAACUUAAGCAAGUUGACAUUACAAUUAAUUUAAACAAAAUAAACCCCUAUUAAUUCAAACAAUAGAUAAUAACGACUAAUUGAACAAAUAACUAACCAAAACAAAUUCAAACAAGCAGAUAAUUAGAAUUAAACGAAAAUCAGAAAACGAGCAAAAACAAAAUCAAAUAGGAAGAAGUAAAAUAUUGGUCUAUCCGGAAAGAACCAAUGAUUGAGCUAACCCAACGAACAAAGAAGGAGAUGAACUAUGCCAGGCACAGCGGUUCGAUCGAUACAACGAAUCUCGAGUCAAGUCAAAACUAGCAUUAGGCAAAGGUUCUUAACAAGAGAGAUUGCUUAACACUAGUGUUAAGUCAAAUUGAGUCCCGGGAGGCAAGAAAUCACAAUUAGGGUGGAUUUAGGUUUCAUAGAUCUGGUUUUCGGGGAGUUUGAUGGAGUUUUUGGUAGGACGAUUGAUACAAUUAGUGUAGAGGAGAGGCUGGGGAUCACGAGGUGUAAUUUUGAAGAUGGUUUGGGGUGGCACCGCCACCGGAGAUGGUGAUGAGUAUUAGGGCGGCACUAUGGUUCUUGUCUCUAAACAUGGAGACGAUUAUAUGAAGGGAAAUGAAACGGGACAUGGGGUGGCCUAGACUAGGAUUAAUGAUCUCAUUUUUACCACUAAGUAGAAUAUUAAUAAUUUCAUACAACUUAAUAAAUCAAAUACAUUUUUAAGUGAAAAAAUUGUUUGGUCCGCUUUGGGCGUUCGUUUUUUGAGCUUUAAAGGAAUUUCCUUAACCUUCUCCCCUCUCU
rnacentral:lncRNA from 1 species